GGAUUGUAGUCUGCAACUCGACUACAUGAAGCUGGAAUCGCUAGUAAUCGUAGAUCAGCAUGCUACGGUGAAUACGUUCCCGGGUCUUGUACACACCGCCCGUCACACCACGAGAGUUUGUAACACCCGAAGCCGGUGGAGUAACCAUUUUGGAGCUAGCCGUCGAAGGUGGGACAAAUGAUUGGGGUGAAGUCGUAACAAGGUAGCCGUAUCGGAAGGUGCGGCUGGAUCACCUCCUUUCUAAGGA
rnacentral:rRNA from 1 species